UUUAUUUUCCGACUCUCUUGGGUGCUUAAUUAAGAAGAACAGUCCCCAUGCUACUAACGCUGAUGAUUCUGGGUCUUGCUGCCCUCAUUGGUACUUCUGAGAGUCAGACUGGAUGCUUUGGUGACAUAAACAAGGUGGAUUCAUAGAUUCAUGGAUACCACUGGGGCUUCCUGUAGAACUGCAAGAGCAGAAGGCUUACGCUACUGCAGAAUUCAUGCUUCAGCAAAGAUUGCAAAGAGAGACUUACGUACUAUGAAAAAAUAUAAAACCAUCAUUAAGAG